CGACCACAACGGGUGGAGCCUGCGGUUUAAUUGGACUCAACGCCGGGCAGCUCACCGGAUAAGACAGCUGGAUGAUAGCCGGGCUGAAGACUCUGCUUGACUAGCUGAGAGGAGGUGCAUGGCCGUCGUCAGUUCGUACUGUGAAGCAUCCUGUUAAGUCAGGCAACGAGCGAGACCCACGCCAACAGUUGCCAGCAUGUCCUCCGGGAUGAUGGGGACACUGUUGGGACCGCUCUGCUAAAGAGGAGGAAGGGAAUGGGCAACGGUAGGUCAGCAUGCCCCGAAUUAUCCGGGCUACACGCGGGCUACAAUGGUCAGGACAAUGGGUAUCGACACCGAGAGGUGGAGGCAAUCUCCUAAACCUGUCCUUAGUUCGGAUUGUGGGCUGCAACUCGCCCACAUGAAGCUGGAAUCCGUAGUAAUCGCGUUUCAAAAUAGCGCGGUGAAUAUGUCCCUGCUCCUU
rnacentral:rRNA from 1 species